rnacentral:rRNA from 1 species
UACGUAGGGUGCGAGCGUUGUCCGGAAUUAUUGGGCGUAAAGGGCUCGUAGGCGGUUUGUCGCGUCGGGAGUGAAAACCUCGGGCUUAACUCGGGGCUUGCUUUCGAUACGGGCAGACUAGAGGUAUGCAGGGGAGAACGGAAUUCCUGUGUAGCGGUGAAAUGCGCAGAUAUCAGGAGGAACACCGGUGGCGAAGGCGGUUCCCUGGGCAUGAUCUGACGCUGAGGAGCGAAAGUGGUGGGGAGCGAACAGG